AUUGAACGCUGGCGGCAGGCCUAACACAUGCAAGUCGAGCGGAUGAAGGGAGCUUGCUCCUGGAUUCAGCGGCGGACGGGUGAGUAAUGCCUAGGAAUCUGCCUGGUAGUGGGGGAUAACGUCCGGAAACGGGCGCUAAUACCGCAUACGUCCUGAGGGAGAAAGUGGGGGAUCUUCGGACCUCACGCUAUCAGAUGAGCCUAGGUCGGAUUAGCGAGUUGGUGGGGUAAAGGCCUACCAAGGCGACGAUCCGUAACUGGUCUGAGAGGAUGAUCAGUCACACUGGAACUGAGACACGGUCCAGACUCCUACGGGAGGCAGCAGUGGGGAAUAUUGGACAAUGGGCGAACGCCUGAUCCAGCCAUGCCGCGUGUGUGAAGAAGGUCUUCGGAUUGUAAAGCACUUUAAGUUGGGAGGAAGGGCAGUAAGUUAAUACCUUGCUGUUUUGACGUUACCAACAGAAUAAGCACCGGCUAACUUCGUG
rnacentral:rRNA from 1 species